AUUGAACGCUGGCGGCAUGCCUUACACAUGCAAGUCGAACGGUAACAGGUCUUCGGAUGCUGACGAGUGGCGAACGGGUGAGUAAUGCAUCGGAACGUGCCCAGUUGUGGGGGAUAACUGCUCGAAAGAGCAGCUAAUACCGCAUACGACCUGAGGGUGAAAGCGGGGGAUCGCAAGACCUCGCGCAAUUGGAGCGGCCGAUGUCAGAUUAGGUAGUUGGUGGGGUAAAGGCCUACCAAGCCGACGAUCUGUAGUUGGUCUGAGAGGACGACCAGCCACACUGGGACUGAGACACGGCCCAGACUCCUACGGGAGGCAGCAGUGGGGAAGUUUGGACAAUGGGCGCAAGCCUGACCCAGCAAUGCCGCGUGCAGGAAGAAGGCCUUCGGGUUGUAAACUGCUUUUGUCAGGGAAGAAAUCCUCUGGGUUAAUACCCCGGGGGGAUGACGGUACCUGAAGAAUAAGCACCGGCUAACUACGUGCCAGCCGCCGCCGUAA
rnacentral:rRNA from 1 species